rnacentral:lncRNA from 1 species
GGUGCUAUCUCCUUUGUAGAGAUCGCUAUUUGGAUUAUCAAAUCUUUUGUCUCUUUCAAUUCUCUUCUCAAGAAAAUCAAAGAGAUCUGUAGGAGGAUCAAAAAAUUAGAUCUAAUUUAAUUUUUUUUUUCUUCUCAAAAGAAAGAAGAAGAUCUAGAGAAAAGAACAAGAGAUCAAAUCUCUUUUCUUUCCUUUCCGUCUAACUCUUGGACUAAAUAUGGAGGAGAA